AACGCGAAGAACCUUACCUGGGCUCGAACGGCUUAAGAACAUCUUUGGAAACAGAGACUUCCCGCAAGGGACUUGAGUCGAGGUGCUGCAUGGCUGUCGUCAGCUCGUGUCGUGAGAUGUUGGGUUAAGUCCCGCAACGAGCGCAACCCUUGUCCUGUGUUGCCACUCCCCUUAAAAGGAAGCACUCGCAGGAGACCGCCAGCGAUAAGCUGGAGGAAGGUGGGGAUGAUGUCAAGUCAUCAUGGCCUUUAUGUCCAGGGCUACACACGUGCUACAAUGGGCGGUACAAAGCGCUGCAAACCCGCGAGGGGGAGCUAAUCGCAAAAAACCGUUCUCAGUUCGGAUCGCAGGCUGCAACUCGCCUGCGUGAAGCUGGAAUCGCUAGUAAUGGCGUAUCAGAAUGAUGCCGUGAAUACGUUCCCGGGCCUUGUACACACCGCUCGCGA
rnacentral:rRNA from 1 species